rnacentral:rRNA from 1 species
AGUGAACGCUGGCGGUAGGCCUAACACAUGCAAGUCGAACGGCAGCACAGUAAGAGCUUGCUCUUACGGGUGGCGAGUGGCGGACGGGCGAGGAAUACAUCGGAAUCUACUUUUUCGUGGGGGAUAACGUAGGGAAACUUACGCUAAUACCGCAUACGACCUACGGGUGAAAGCAGGGGAUCUUCGGACCUUGCGCGAUUGAAUGAGCCGAUGUCGGAUUAGCUAGUUGGCGGGGUAAAGGCCCACCAAGGCGACGAUCCGUAGCUGGUCUGAGAGGAUGAUCAGCCACACUGGAACUGAGACACGGUCCAGACUCCUACGGGAGGCAGCAGUGGGGAAUAUUGGACAAUGGGCGCAAGCCUGAUCCAGCCAUACCGCGUGGGUGAAGAAGGCCUUCGGGUUGUAAAGCCCUUUUGUUGGGAAAGAAAAGCAGCAGGUUAAUACCCCGCUGUUCUGACGGUACCCAAAGAAUAAGCACCGGCCAACUUCGUG